rnacentral:rRNA from 1 species
GGAUAACCUGCCCUAUCGUCUGGAAUAACCUCGGGAAACUGAGAAUAAGGCCGGAUAGUUCACAAAGCCUGGAACGGUUUGUGAAUCAAGGUAGGAUGGGUCUGCGGCGUAUCAGGUAGUAGGGGGUGUAAAGGACCCCCUAGCCUUCGACGCGUACGGGUGUUGGGAGACAUAGCCCGGAGAUGGAUUCUGAGACACGAAUCCAGACCCUACGGGGUGCAGCAGGCGCGAAAACUUCACACUGCAGGAAACUGUGAUGAGGGAACUCCAAGUGUGUGCACUAUGUGUACACUUUUAUGAACUUUUAAUCGGUUCAGGAAUAAGGGCUGGGAAAGACCGGUGCCAGCCGCCGCGGUAAUACCGGCAGCUCAAGUGGUCGUCGCUUUUAUUGGGCCUAAAACGUCCGUAGCCUGUUUGGUAAAUCUGUGGAUAAAUCAACUCGCUCAACGAGUUGAAUUCUGCAGAGACUGCCAGACUAGGGACCGGGAGAGGUGUGGGGUACUCGAGGGGUAGGGGUAAAAUCCUGUCAUCCUUCGAGGACCACCAGUUGCGAAGGCGCCACACUGGAACGGAUCCGACGGUCAGGGACGAAGCCUAGGGGCACGAACCGGAUUAGAUACCCGGGUAGUCCUAGGUGUAAACGCUGUGAACUUGGUGUCGGGGGUCCGCAAGGGGUCCCCGGUGCCGGAGUGAAGAUGUUAAGUUCACUGCCUGGGGAGUACGGUCGCAAGGCUGAAACUU